rnacentral:snRNA from 1 species
AGCUCCAAGUGGGCCAUUUUUG